ACACAUGCAAAUCGAACGAGCGAGAGAGAGCUUGCUUUCUUGAGCGAGUGGCGAACGGGUGAGUAACGCGUGAGGAACCUGCCUCAAAGAGGGGGACAACAGUUGGAAACGACUGCUAAUACCGCAUAAGCCCACGACCCGGCAUCGGGUAGAGGGAAAAGGAGCAAUCCGCUUUGAGAUGGCCUCGCGUCCGAUUAGCUAGUUGGUGAGGUAAUGGCCCACCAAGGCGACGAUCGGUAGCCGGACUGAGAGGUUGAACGGCCACAUUGGGACUGAGACACGGCCCAGACUCCUACGGGAGGCAGCAGUGGGGAAUAUUGCACAAUGGGGGAAACCCUGAUGCAGCGACGCCGCGUGGAGGAAGAAGGUCUUCGGAUUGUAAACUCCUGUUGUUGAGGAAGAUAAUGACGGUACUCAACAAGGAAGUGACGGCUAACUACGUGCCAGCAGCCGCGGUAAAACGUAGGUCACAAGCGUUGUCCGGAAUUACUGGGUGUAAAGGGAGCGCAGGCGGGAAGACAAGUUGGAAGUGAAAUCCAUGGGCUCAACCCAUGAACUGCUUUCAAAACUGUUUUUCUUGAGUAGUGCAGAGGUAGGCGGAAUUCCCGGUGUAGCGGUGGAAUGCGUAGAUAUCGGGAGGAACACCAGUGGCGAAGGCGGCCUACUGGGCACCAACUGACGCUGAGGCUCGAAAGUGUGGGUAGCAAACAGGAUUAGAUACCCUGGUAGUCCACACUGUAAACGAUGAUUACUAGGUGUUGGAGGAUUGACCCCUUCAGUGCCGCAGUUAACACAAUAAGUAAUCCACCUGGGGAGUACGACCGCAAGGUUGAAACUCAAAGGAAUUGACGGGGGCCCGCACAAGCAGUGGAGUAUGUGGUUUAAUUCGACGCAACGCGAAGAACCUUACCAAGUCUUGACAUCC
rnacentral:rRNA from 1 species